rnacentral:rRNA from 1 species
UACGUAUGGAGCAAGCGUUAUCCGGAUUUACUGGGUGUAAAGGGAGCGUAGGCGGUAAGGCAAGUCUGAUGUGAAAGGCCAGGGCUCAACCCUGGGACUGCAUUGGAAACUGUUUAACUGGAGUGUCGGAGAGGCAAGUGGAAUUCCUAGUGUAGCGGUGAAAUGCUUAGAUAUUGCGCAGAACUCCGAUUGCGAAGGCAGCAUACCGGCGGCGAUCUGACGCUGAGGCACGAAAGCGUGGGUAUCGAACAGG